UGAGGCCAAAUCAUUUUGAAACACCGGUUUCCGUACGAUCACCGAAGUUAAGCAACAUUGGGCGUGGUCAUUCCCUAGAUGGGUGGCCGCUUUUUGAUUACCAGAUGCUGUAA